rnacentral:tRNA from 1 species
GCGGAUGUGGCGGAAUGGCAGACGCGCUAGCUUCAGGUGCUAGUGUUCGCAAGGACGUGGGGGUUCAAGCCCCCCCAUCCGCACCA